GACGAACGCUGGCGGCGUGCCUAAUACAUGCAAGUAGGACGCAGUUGCGAACGGGUGAGUAACGCGUAGGUAACUGCCUAUUAGAGGGGGAUAACUAUUGGAAACGAUAGCUAAUACCGCAUACUAGUAGAUGGACCUGCGUUGUAUUAGCUAGUAGGUAGGGUAAUGGCCUACCUAGGCGACGAUACAUAGCCGAGCUGAGGGGGUGAUCAGCCACACUGGGAAUGAGAAACGGCCCAGACUCCGAAGGGGAGCAGCAGUAGGGAAUCUUCGGCAAUGGGGGGAACCCUGACCGAGCAACGCCGGGGGAGUGAAGAAGGUUUUCGGAUCGUAAAGCUCUGUUGUGAAGGAAGCGGUACUUAACCAGAAAGGGACGGCUAACUACGUGCCAGCAGCCGCGGUAAUAC
rnacentral:rRNA from 1 species